rnacentral:misc_RNA from 1 species
GGAAGCAAAAGUCGUAACAAGGUUUCCGUAGGUGAACCUGCGGAAGGAUCAUUAUUGAAACUUCAUCCGGGGCGCCGCGGCCCUCAGCACCGGUGGAAACGCCGUGCUGCGGGGGCCGCGCGUGCACUCGUCCAAACCAAACCCCUGUGAACCUUACGGGAUGGCCCGGGUUAGCGCCCGGUGCCGUUCCGCUUUAUACAAACACUUAUCAAAGAAUGAACUGAAGGCGGUCUGACCGCUGGAUAACAAACUGAAACAACUUUCAACAACGGAUCUCUUGGCUCUC